UUGGAGGGCAAGUCUGGUGCCAGCAGCCGCGGUAAUUCCAGCUCCAAUAGCGUAUAUUAAAGUUGUUGCAGUUAAAAAGCUCGUAGUUGAAUUUCGGGAUUGGCACAUCGGUCGUGCCUUAAGGGGCAUGAACUGGUGUAGCCAAUUUCUCACCUUCUGGAGAACCGCGAUGUCCUUAAUUGGGUGCCGCGAGGAACCAGGACCUUUACUUUGAAAAAAUUAGAGUGUUUAAAGCAGGCAUUUUGCUUGAAUACAUUAGCAUGGAAUAAUAAAAUAGGACGGAUGAUUCUAUUUUGUUGGUUUCUAGGACCACCGUAAUGAUUAAUAGGGAUAGUUGGGGGCAUUAGUAUUCAAUUGUCAAAGGUGAAAUUCUUGGAUUUAUUGAAGACUAACUACUGCGAAAGCAUUUGCCAAGGAUGUUUUCAUUAAUCAAGAACGAAAGUUAGGGGAUCGAAGACGAUCAGAUACCGUCGUAGUCUUAACCAUAAACUAUGCCGACUAGGAAUCAGACGAUGUUAAUUUUUUAAUGACUCGUUUGGCACCUUACGGGAAACCAAAGUGUUUGGGUUC
rnacentral:rRNA from 1 species